rnacentral:misc_RNA from 1 species
ACGUGACCUACUUCAUCGUCAUAGACAAACCAUCUUUUUUACUUCCACGCCCGGCGGCAGCUUGUGCCCUUGGAGAAAAAUUAUUUAUUUUGUAAUUUCAUGAUAAUUACUUAAAAAAUGGAUACAAGGAAGCUGACUGAAAUUUUGCGGGGAACCAUCGAUCCAAAUCAGAGGCAGCAGGCUGAAGAACAGCUUUCGCAGAUUCACAAAAUCAUUGGUUUUGCACCAUCAUUGCUUCAAGUGGUUAUGCUAAAUGAUGUACCGAUACCAGUGCGACAAGCUGGUGCAGUAUACCUCAAGAACCUCAUUUCAUCAGGAUGGCAAGAAAAAGAGCCUGAAGAGGGUGAACCCAUCCCAUUCAGCGUUCACGAUCAGGAUCGUGCCAUGACCAGAGACAUGAUUGUAGAUGCUAUCAUACAGGCCCCGGAUAUAAUAAGAGUACAGCUGUGCAUCUGUUUGAAAACAAUUAUCAAACAUGAUUUUCCAACUCGCUGGACACAAAUUGUGGACAAGAUCCACAUAUACCUGCAAAACCCUGAGCCUGCCAGUUGGAUGGGUGCUCUUCUUUGCCUUUAUCAGUUGAUAAAGAACUAUGAAUACGACAUUGCCGAGAAGAGAGUGCCGCUAAUAGAAGCAAUGAACCUGCUUCUGCCCAUGAUGUACAAUUUAAUUGUGAAUCUCCAGGCUGAUCAAUCUGUAGAAUCAGUGCUGAUACAGAAGCAAAUACUCAAGUGUUUUUAUGGCCUAAUAAAGUACAUUUUGCCCCUGGACCUGAUUACAAAAGACAUUUUCACAAAAUGGAUGGAGGUGCUCCGCUCAGUGAUGGAACAACCGGUGCCAGAGACUACACUGCAGGUGGAAGAAGAUGAACGUAUGGAACUACCGUGGUGGAAAUGCAAGAAGUGGGCAGUGCACACUUUGUACAGACUGUUCGAACGGUAUGGCAGUCCCGUGAACGCUCGCGAGGAGUACGUGCAAUUUUCCGAAUGGUAUCUAACCACCUUCACUGGCGGGAUCUUAGAGGUUCUCCUGAGAAUACUGGACCAGUACAGAAACAAGGUGUACAUUUCCCCGAGAGUUCUGCAACAGACCAUCAGCUAUAUUGAUCAAUGCGUGACCCAUGCUCAUUCCUGGAAGCUCCUGAAGCCACACAUGUUCGCCAUUAUUCAAGACGUGCUGUUCCCUCUCAUGUCGUACUCCGAAAGUGACGAAGAACUGUGGGAAACGGAUCCUCAUGAAUAUAUACGAAUCAAAUUCGACAUAUUCGAAGACUUUGUGUCGCCGGUCACUGCCGCUCAGACUCUGCUCGUGUCAUGUUGCAAAAAGCGCAAGGACAUGUUAGGACGUACGAUGCAGUUGUGUAUGCAAGUGUUGACGAGCCAGAACGGCGAGUACGGCCCCAGGCAGCGCGAUGGCGCCCUGCACAUGGUGGGCACACUAAACGACUUACUUAUCAAGAAGAAAUUCUACAAAGAAGAGAUCGAUUCUCUCUUGAGCCAGUACGUGUUCCCUGAAUUCCACAGUCCGCUCGGUUAUAUGCGUGCGAGGGCUUGUUGGACUCUGCACUGCUUCGCUAGUGUUCGCUUCAAGAGUGACCAACUUCUCCUUGAAGCUGUCCAUUUGACAGUCACCGCGCUCCUCAAUGAUUCCGAACUGCCUGUCAAAGUCGAAGCAGCCAUUGCCAUUCAAAUGCUACUAUCUUCGCAAGAAAAGGUACACAAGUACUUGGAGCCUCAAGUGAAGGCUGUCACUUCUGAGCUGCUCAAAGUUAUUCGUGAGACUGAAAACGAUAACAUAGCGAACGUGCUGCAGAAAAUUGUACCAUUGUACACUGAACAGCUUUUGCCCAUGGCGUUUGAGAUCACUGAUCAUUUGGCAACUACCUUCAGUAAAGUUAUUGAGACAGAUUCUGGAACUGACGAGAAGGCCAUCACAGCGAUGGGUCUUUUGAAUACAAUGGAAACAGUUCUCAAUGUAAUGGAGGACAAUCCUGAGAUCAUGGCUCAGUUGGAGAAGACAGUACUUCGCGUCGUCGGACACAUACUGCAUCACAAUAUUAUUGAAUACUACGAAGAAGCGAUGACGCUGCUUUGCAACUUGACUGCAAAAACUAUAUCGGAGGACAUGUGGAAGGUUCUGGAAAUGCUGUACCAAGUGUUCGAGAAAGAAGGCUUUGAUUACUUCACGGACAUGAUGCCAGUUCUUCACAACUACAUUACAGUGGAUACCAACGCAUUCCUUUCCAAUGAGAAUCAUAUCCUUGCUAUGUUUAACAUGGCUAAAGCUGUACUAAACUCAGAUGCUGAAGACGAGUGCGAGAUAUACGCAGCGAAACUUCUCGAAGUAAUGGUGCUGCAAUGUUCCGGAAAGAUCGACAACUGCCUGCCGUCCUUCGUCGAGUUGGUGCUCAACAGGCUCACCAGGAAAGUCAAGACUUCUGAGCUUAGGACUAUGCUUCUGCAGGUUCUAAUAGCUAUCCUGUACUGCAAUCCUCAUCUGCUGCUUACGAUCCUGGACAAGCUACAGGAGUCCGUGCCCAACGCGUCCAUAACACAGCACUUCCUCAAGCAGUGGAUACACGACACCGACUGCUUUAUGGGAUUGCACGACAGAAAACUAUGCGUGCUUGGUAUCUGCACACUGCUCGAGAUGGGUCCUCAGAGGCCAAACAUUGAAGAGAUUCUGCCGAAGCUGCUGCCAUCUUGUCUGGUGCUGUUCGACGGACUCAAGCGCGCGUACGAGGCGAGGGCUGAGGCCGAUGAAGAAACUUCCUCUGAAGAAGAUGAGGAAGAAGAAGAUGAAGAAGUGUUAUCAAGCGACGAAGAUGAUUUAGAAGAAAUGAACAAUGAAUACCUCGAGAAUUUAGCGCGAAUGGCUGUUAAAAACAGUGCGCAACAUGGAGUCAACAUGACGGCUAAGAUCGAGGACUACGAAGAGAGUGACGAUGUGAGUCCACUAGACGACGAUGAUUAUGAGGAUACUGCGAUAGAAUGCUACACCACUCCCCUCGAUGAGAAGGACUUCCCAGUUGACGAAUACGUCAAGUUCAAGAGCACGCUCCAUGCUCUGUCAACGAGCGAGCCAGCCUUGUACCACGCCCUAACAAGCGGCUUGAACGAGGCGCAACAGAAACAGUUAAAUGCUGUGUUCGUGCUGGCCGACCAGCGCAAGGCGCAACAAGACAGCAAGCGCAUCGAACAGAGUGGAGGCUACAUGUUCACCGUACCAGCGCAAGUCCCGACCAAAUUCAAAUUCGGAUCGUAAAAAAUGUUGCACACAUUUAUCGUUAACGUAUAUCACACUUGUCGAAUAUAUCCUCCAAUUUGCCGCUUACAUUAACUUCCAUUCAAAUAUAUCGGCUCUAAAUUGUUCGUUACACUUGUUAGUAUAGCAGUUAGUUGCAUAAGCUUGGCACUGAAACUGAAAAUUUUAUUAGUGUUGUUGAUCCUACGCAGGCGGCUGGCCGCGGCUUAAAUUUCCAGUGAGGCUAUAAGCUACUAUAAAUAGGCCCUCUACCUUUGUGGUAUUGCAAGCCAGAGACCAAAAGAGGAGCAUAUAUUACAAGUGUGCAUGCCUGAUUUUGUAUGUAUAUUCACAAACGUGAACGUGUUAUAAAUGUUUUGAAUAUUUACAAAGUGAUGAGUAAGUGAAAUAGGAUAACAGUCAAUUUGGAGGGCCUGAUAUUUUAAAUAGAUUAUAUCGCAUUGUAAUUAUUCAAAGUAUUUAAAUACUGAUAUUGUAAUUCAUACUGUCCUUUUUUGUUUAGUGCUUGGAUUUGAUUGAUUUUUGAUGACUGAAUGUUAAAUUAGCAGUUGUCUCUGUCUUUUUACUAAUGAAAGAUCUAUUUCAUUUAAAAUGAGAAUUGAUUUUAAUGCUCCAACUCCACGUUGUUGUUCACAUACACUGCUAUUUAUUGUAAUAGAUACAUCGGGAACUAGAUGUAUCCCUGCGUGUUAUCGGUCAUAUGUACACAAUAUAUAUGUUUGUAGUUAGUUGGGUUCCGUAUUUUAAUGCUCGUUAAACGCCUUCAUUCAAAUUUUAAAGUCAUAUUUAGCAAUACAUAUAUAUUUUAUAGUUGUAGUUGUAUAUUUUUUAUGUAUAUAGGUACAACAUGUCUACUUUCAGAUAAUAUAGGUAUUGCUUUUCCUGUAAAAGAAUUGAUAGUUACAGUCAGAAAUAUAUUAAGUACAUAUCAUUACAUCUCGCUUGCAUGUCAUAUAAUUAGGACAAACACAUACCUCAUGAAAAACCUUCAUUAGACUGUUUAGCUAGAACGUACGGAACCCUGGCAGGCUAAAUUAGCAUUUAUCUAAAAAGAUGUCUAUACAUGUAAGCAGAGUCUAAAAGUUUAUUAAUUACAAACUGUCAAAAAAUAUAAAUAUGCUAUCAAAAUUAUGUUCAGCCAAUGGUAGUGUAAGUGACGAUAAAUGGACUCUUUUUUAAUUAAUUUAUUUACUCUGUUGCCAACCGAAUGAAAUCAAAGUUAUUCAAACUAAAACUGUUGUAGUGAGAGACUGUUGUAACUAUGUGAAUUCUAGUGAUAGAAUUCCUUUUGAAUUACUGUCCAUAUAUCCAUUCUUCACGGAAUGUGUAUAUGGUUAAAAUAAUAUUUUAAAUAAUAAUGAAAUAAACUGUUUUCUUCACCUCUGACUUUCUACGUCUGAAACUGGCUCAUGAACUUCAACUUUAUCCAAACAGUUAAACUGUUCACUUAAAAUGUACAAGUGUAUGCAAAACUGCAGUUAUUAAAACUUAAAAUUGUGCAGUCAAAAAUGAAGAUCAGUAGCUGGCCUAAGGGCAUUUAACUGUAAACCUGCAAUGCUUGUUUCCAAUGUAACAAUGUUUCUCACUAACGUGUUUUAUUUUUUAUUAUGUUUUUUUUUUCGCAAUAAGUAUAAAAUACAAUGUUUUAUGCAUAUACAAUGUGCAUUGACUAAUCUGGUAGUUGUCGUUCAAUCGUACAUGUAUUAAGUUUAAAAAAAAUAUAAUGCUGUUGGCAAAACUUUGUUAUUUCUGUUUACUGCUGUGAAGAUAAUUGUUUUGGUUAUUACGGAAAAAAGAUUUUUUCAGCGUAAGACAAUAUAGAUCGAAUCGAAUUUGUUUGUUGGCAGUUAGCAAAGUUUUCAGUGAUAAAUAUGGUAAGGGUUAUUUACGUUGCGAGCGCUAAUUGUACUCUGAAAUUUUGUAUAAUAUAUCUGCAAGAUUGUCAAGAAAAGUUAAUGGUAAUAUUACCAAAAUGACGUAAUGAUAAACUGUACAUUGUGUAUAACAUUUUGAUUCGUCACCCAAUAGUUGUUAAUGUGUUAUUAAUUCUGAUAUUCAUCGUCAGACUAGAUUGUUGGUAUAUACGUACACAGUUUGUUGGUUACCUUUAAAUUGUUAUUUAAUUGGAAAUGCUAAUAUUUCAUGUUGAUUUAAUGAGGCACAAUGAUGGAUAGGCACUAACUUUGUUACUGUAUUUUCUGGCUGAAGGUGUGAUAAGACUGUUUUGACCAUACUAGUGAUUACAUGCUGAUGGAACAUUUGUCUUGUGAAAUCAGGGAGUGGUUGCCUCAUGGAGGCGACACGCCAGUCUCGAACAGGCUUCUAACAUCUGAUAUAGUGUGGUUCGAUAAUAAUGAGAGUAAGAGAUUAGAAUGUAAGCCACCCGUAAAAUGGGCUAAGCUCGUAUAUUUUUUAUGUAAUUAAUCAGCCUUAACUCUGAAAGAAAAUUGCCAGGUCUAUGGUUUUCAAUAUCAUAUUGACUUUUAUACAAACAGAUAAUAUGUACAUUUUAAAGUUGUACGAAAAUGUCUAAGGUGUCCGAUCUCAUAAGCGUCAUACUUACCCGAAUACCAAGUGAUGUUGAUUAAUUUAUGUGUUUUAAAUUAUGUCCAAACUUGAAUAAGAUGAGGUUCACAAUGAGAUUGAUUUAAUUUGUAUCUUCUAUUGAUACAACCAAUAUUACAAAGUUAUUGUGAAGUCAGAAUAUCGGAAUAAUGCUUUUGCACACUUCACGGUUGUUAUUUUGUUCUAAAUGGUUGGUUAGUGUCCACCAAUCGAAGAAAUAUAUUACGUCAAUAUUAUUAUAAGCGUUACUAAACCGCAUGAUGUCUAAUAGAACUUACUGUCAUCACUGAUUUGUCUGUGUGAUUUGUAUUAUUAUUAUUCUAUAUCGCAGCUUAGAUGUAUACACGAUUAUAAAUAAUCUGUAUUUUCUAUAAA